rnacentral:rRNA from 1 species
CCCAGACUCCUACGGGAGGCAGCAGUGGGGCCUCUUGCACAAUGGGGGGCCCCCUGAUGCAGCGCCGCCGCGUGCGCGCUGAAGUAUUUCGGUAUGUAAAGCUCUCUCAGCAGGGACGAACAUGACGGUCCCUGACUAAGAAGCCUCGGCUAACUACGUGCCAGCAGCCGCGGUAAUACGUAGGGGGCAAGCGUUAUCCGGAUUUACUGGGUGUAAAGGGAGCGGAGACGGCUGUGCAAGCCAGAUGUGAAAGCCCGGGGCUCAGCCCCGGGACUGCAUUUGGAACUGCGUGGCUUGAGUGUCGGAGAGGCAGGCGGAAUUCCUAGUGUAGCGGUGAAAUGCGUAGAUAUUAGGAGGAACACCAGUGGCGAAGGCGGCCUGCUGGACGAUGACUGACGUUGAUGCUCGAAAGCGUGGGGAGCAAACAGGAUUAGAUACCCUAGUA